CUUUUCUAUAAGCGUAGGAAGUACCAGACUUAGCCUCAGAGCUCAGCUGCAAAACUACAAGAAGGCUGAAGAAGGAACAUACAAAAGAACAGCAGCGAAAAUGAGCAUGAGAAUGAAUGCAGUUUUUAUCUUUGCAUGCCUCAUCAUGGUUCUUACAGCACUUGCUUCUGUUGAGGCAUCAGGUGGUAGAAAUGCCACAGAGAAAACCGCAAAUGGUGCUAUAGCUGUGAUCUGCCCAGGAACUGCUGCGUUCCAUAUGAUAACCUGCAUUGUUCCAUUGCUGCUUCUACGACUAUUCUAAUUCAAAAAUCAUGAAACAGCAGUGUUACCUUCUGAAAGUUAUGGGUGACUACUGCCCAUCAUAUUAUGCAACGUUAACAUUUCUGCAGCUUGAAGAAAUAAAGGCAGCAAACAUCUGUUCUAGUGCCUCAGCUAAAAGUCCUAGCCUUAACCUGUCUAGAUAAGAAAAGACAUGACAUUAUCCAAACAAAUGGAAUCCCACAAAGUGCUGUCAUUUAUUUGUGCUGUCAUGAUAUUGCCCAUGUCACUGAUGACUACUGAGUUAAAAGUUAGGCUGUCUUAAGAUGACAGUUCAUUUUAAAUUCUGCUAAACUAAAAGCAUAUCUUGUGAGAAAUAAAUUAAAUCAUAUAUACCUGCC